AGAGUUUGAUCCUGGCUCAGGACGAACGCUGGCGGCGUGCUUAACACAUGCAAGUCGAACGGUGAAGGGACCAGCUUGCUGGUUCUGGAUGAGUGGCGAACGGGUGAGUAACACGUGAGUAACCUGCCCCCUUCUUCUGGAUAACCGCAUGAAAGUGUGGCUAAUACGGGAUAUUCUGGGUCUGUCGCAUGAUGGGCCCGGGAAAGAUGCGCCUUUGGGUGUUUUUGGUGGGGGAUGGGCUCGCGGCCUAUCAGCUUGUUGGUGGGGUGAUGGCCUACCAAGGCGGUGACGGGUAGCCGGCCUGAGAGGGUGGACGGUCACACUGGGACUGAGACACGGCCCAGACUCCUACGGGAGGCAGCAGUGGGGAAUAUUGCACAAUGGGCGCAAGCCUGAUGCAGCGACGCCGCGUGAGGGAUGACGGCCUUCGGGUUGUAAACCUCUGUUAGCAUCGAAGAAGCGAAAGUGACGGUAGGUGCAGAGAAAGCGCCGGCUAACUACGUGCCAGCAGCCGCGGUAAUACGUAGGGCGCGAGCGUUGUCCGGAAUUAUUGGGCGUAAAGAGCUCGUAGGCGGCUGGUCGCGUCUGUCGUGAAAUCCUCUGGCUUAACUGGGGGCUUGCGGUGGGUACGGGCCGGCUUGAGUGCGGUAGGGGAGACUGGAACUCCUGGUGUAGCGGUGGAAUGCGCAGAUAUCAGGAAGAACACCGGUGGCGAAGGCGGGUCUCUGGGCCGUUACUGACGCUGAGGAGCGAAAGCGUGGGGAGCGAACAGGAUUAGAUACCCUGGUAGUCCACGCUGUAAACGUUGGGCACUAGGUGUGGGGGCCACCCGUGGUUUCUGCGCCGUAGCUAACGCUUUAAGUGCCCCGCCUGGGGAGUACGGCCGCAAGGCUAAAACUCAAAGGAAUUGAC
rnacentral:rRNA from 1 species